AUUCUAUAUGGCAAUGGAGCUUGCCAAAAUCGCCGCUUCAGUUCGUGCUAAAUGUUUUACCAGUUAUGGCUGUAAAACAAAAGCUUGUAACUAUCUGAAAGGCUGAUGGCUCCUACUUUCCA
rnacentral:ncRNA from 2 species